rnacentral:rRNA from 1 species
CCUACGAGGCGCUGCAGUGAGGAAUAUUGGUCAAUGGGCGCGAGCCUGAACCAGCCAAGUAGCGUGAAGGAUGACUGCCCUACGGGUUGUAAACUUCUUUUAUAAAGGAAUAAAGUGCGGCACGUGUGCCUUUUUGUAUGUACUUUAUGAAUAAGGAUCGGCUAACUCCGUGCCAGCAGCCGCGGUAAUACGGAGGAUCCAGGCGUUGUCCGGAUGUAUUGGGUUUAAAGGGAGCGUAGAUGGGUUGUUAAGUCAGUUGUGAAAGUUUGCGGCUCAACCGUAAAAUUGCAAUUGAUACUGGCAGUCUUGAGUACAGUUGAGGUAGGCGGAAUUCGUGGUGUAGCGGUGAAAUGCUUAGAUAUCACGAAGAACUCCGAUUGCGAAGGCAGCUUACUAAACUGCAACUGACAUUGAUGCUCGAAAGUGUGGGUAUCAAACAGGAUUAGAUACCCGAGUAGUC